UCAAUGGUGGGCCGGGCGGGGGCAUCGCGAGACGCGCCGGUAUCCGAUGGGCCGGUAAGGUCAACCCCGUUCAGCCCGCCUCCC
rnacentral:antisense_RNA from 1 species